rnacentral:rRNA from 1 species
UAGGGAAUCUUCCGCAAUGGACGAAAGUCUGACGGAGCAACGCCGCGUGAGUGAUGAAGGCUUUCGGGUCGUAAAACUCUGUUGUUAGGGAAGAACAAGUACGAGAGUAACUGCUCGUACCUUGACGGUACCUAACCAGAAAGCCACGGCUAACUACGUGCCAGCAGCCGCGGUAAUACGUAGGUGGCAAGCGUUAUCCGGAAUUAUUGGGCGUAAAGCGCGCGCAGGCGGUUUCUUAAGUCUGAUGUGAAAGCCCACGGCUCAACCGUGGAGGGUCAUUGGAAACUGGGGAACUUGAGUGCAGAAGAGAAAAGCGGAAUUCCACGUGUAGCGGUGAAAUGCGUAGAGAUGUGGAGGAACACCAGUGGCGAAGGCGGCUUUUUGGUCUGUAACUGACGCUGAGGCGCGAAAGCGUGGGGAGCAAACAGGAUUAGAUACCCUGGUAGUCCACGCCGUAAACGAUGAGUGCUAAGUGUUAGAGGGUUUCCGCCCUUUAGUGCUGCAGCUAACG